rfam:Triticum aestivum genome assembly, contig: Triticum_aestivum_CS42_TGACv1_scaffold_211264_3AS
UAUGUACUCCCUUCGUUUCGAAUUACUCGUCGUAGAAAUAGAUGUAUCUAAAUGUAUUUUAGUUCUAGAUACAUUCACUUAUAUUACGAGUAAUUUGAAACGAAGGUAGUAUGUA